rnacentral:rRNA from 1 species
UUGUUGGUAAGGUAAAAGCUUACCAAGGCUUCGAUCAGUAGCUGGUCUGAGAGGACGACCAGCCACACUGGGACUGAGACACGGCCCAGACUCCUACGGGAGGCAGCAGUGGGGAAUUUUGGACAAUGGGGGCAACCCUGAUCCAGCCAUGCCGCGUGAGUGAAGAAGGCCUUCGGGUUGUAAAGCUCUUUCAGCCGGAACGAAACGGUUACGGUUAAUACCCGUGACUACUGACGGUACCGGAAGAAGAAGCACCGGCUAACUACGUGCCAGCAGCCGCGGUAAUACGUAGGGUGCGAGCGUUAAUCGGAAUUACUGGGCGUAAAGCGUGCGCAGGUGGUUUUGUAAGUCAGAUGUGAAAGCCCCGGGCUCAACCUGGGAACUGCGUUUGAAACUACAAGACUAGAGUGUGGCAGAGGGGGGUGGAAUUCCGCGUGUAGCAGUGAAAUGCGUAGAGAUGUGGAGGAACACCGAUGGCGAAGGCAGCCCCCUGGGUCAACACUGACGCUCAGGCACGAAAGCAUGGGGAGCAAACAGGAUUAGAUACCCUGGUAGUCCAUGCCCUAAACGAUGUCAACUAGUUGUCGGGCCUUUACGGGCUUGGUAACGUAGCUAACGCGUGAAGUUGACCGCCUGGGGAGUACGAUCGCAAGAUUAAAACUCAAAUGAAUUGACGGGGACCCGCACAAGCGGUGGAUUAUGUGGAUUAAUUCGAUGCAACGCGAAAAACCUUACCUACCCUUGACAUGUAUCGAAGCCCGCAGAAAAGCGGGGGUGCCCGAAAGGGAGCGGUAACACAGGUGCUGCAUGGCUGUCGUCAGCUCGUGUCGUGAGAUGUUGGGUUAAGUCCCGCAACGAGCGCAACCCUUGUCAUUAAUUGCCAUCAUUUAGUUGGGCACUUUAAUGAGACUGCCGG